GAUGAACGCUGGCGGCGUGCCUAAUACAUGCAAGUCGAGCGAACAGACGAGGAGCUUGCUCCUCUGACGUUAGCGGCGGACGGGUGAGUAACACGUGGAUAACCUACCUAUAAGACUGGGAUAACUUCGGGAAACCGGAGCUAAUACCGGAUAAUAUAUUGAACCGCAUGGUUCAAUAGUGAAAGACGGUUUUGCUGUCACUUAUAGAUGGAUCCGCGCCGCAUUAGCUAGUUGGUAAGGUAACGGCUUACCAAGGCAACGAUGCGUAGCCGACCUGAGAGGGUGAUCGGCCACAUUGGAACUGAGACACGGUCCAGACUCCUACGGGAGGCAGCAGUAGGGAAUCUUCCGCAAUGGGCGAAAGCCUGACGGAGCAACGCCGCGUGAGUGACGAAGGUCUUCGGAUCGUAAAACUCUGUUAUUAGGGAAGAACAAAUGUGUAAGUAACUAUGCACGUCUUGACGGUACCUAAUCAGAAAGCCACGGCUAACUACGUG
rnacentral:rRNA from 1 species